rnacentral:tRNA from 1 species
GCUUUUGUGGCUUAAUGGUAAAGCGACAUCCUAGUAAGAUGUAGAUUCCGCGUUCGAUUCGCGGCAAAAGCU